rnacentral:tRNA from 1 species
UCCCUGGAGGACUAGCGGUUAGGCCUCGGCGCUCUCACCGCUGUGGCCUGGGUUUGAUUCCUGGCCAGGGAA